ACGUCAUCCUCUGCCUAUCACACACCUGAUACCACUCACAAAUAUUGAAGAUAUAUAUGAUUCACUUUAUUGAACAUUAUCCUUCAGUUUGUGACGUAAAGACUCACAACACUUCAGUUAAAACUAAAGGAAUCAUAACUCAUUAAAUAUGUUUCAGUUGAAUUUAUAAUAAUAAAAUCAUUUUUGUUAGUUGAUAUAACCACGUGUCCUCCACACCUAGCAGCUCUGAUGAACGGGCUUCAGGUCAGGUGGUUUACAGGGUCCUUCAACAUGUCAUAGCCUGCUGGGACAAAUAACGGGAUCUUUUAUUCACACAUGUAGUUCACUUUAUUUCCCUGUUUAUUCCUCUUUUUAUAAACAUAUUUAAUCAGAUAUGUGUUGAACAAGAGAAUCACAUUUUAUGUUUCUGCUGCUGUAAAUAACCUGAAUAAUUUAUUAUUUAUACUUUGUACACAGGUGCAUGUUCAGAGCCAUCUGUCACCAUACUCGAUGAAUCAAAGGACUGGUCUCUGCUGCAGUGUGAAGUUAAAGGAGCUUCUCCUCGACUUGAAGUGGAGUGGAGGAACAGUUCUGGAAACAUCCUUCAUGCUGAAGAACCACAGGUCACAGAAAGAGGAGACAGCUACGACAUCAUCCUCAACACCACUGUGACCAAGACCGACCACUACAGCUGUGUGCUCACACAGAAUGAGAUCUGUCAUCAGAUUUCCUCUAAGAUCUUUGUGUACAUCCACGAACCAGAGGAGUCUUAAGACUUGUAUAAAAGAAAACUCUGUGCAGAACCACGACGACUCUCCAGAUGUUUCUAACAUUAUUCAUCACUGUGUGAACAUCUGUCUGAUAACACUAAAGGGGUUUAAAAAAGACACAAAAAGGACUCAGAGAUUACCGUAACAUCUGGUGUAUAGACGCACUUUUAAUACCUAUUGUUUCAUCUUUAUACACCGGUGGGACCAACAUAGCAGUAUAAAAUAGUGAAACACGUCAUUACAGCGUGUGCAGCAGCCACCAUCACACACUGCGCUCGACCUGACGUCAUUAAAAACACAUCCCCGUUCAGUGUGUAUUGAAAGCUGGUUGCACGCUGUGUUGGGAAAGACAGCGACACAGACCAGUCCGUCUGAGCGACUUUUUCACAUCUUUACUCCCUCAUGAGGUCAUAAUCAGGACUUUACAGAAAACGGUGGUUUAUGGUUCUGUAAAUAAACCGUGUGGAGUGUUUUGA